rnacentral:rRNA from 1 species
GACGAACGCUGGCGGCGUGCCUAAUACAUGCAAGUAGAACGCUGAAGAGAGGAGCUUGCUCUUCUUGGAUGAGUUGCGAACGGGUGAGUAACGCGUAGGUAACCUGCCUUGUAGCGGGGGAUAACUAUUGGAAACGAUAGCUAAUACCGCAUAACAAUGGAUGACACAUGUCAUUUAUUUGAAAGGGGCAAUUGCUCCACUACAAGAUGGACCUGCGUUGUAUUAGCUAGUAGGUGAGGUAAUGGCUCACCUAGGCGACGAUACAUAGCCGACCUGAGAGGGUGAUCGGCCACACUGGGACUGAGACACGGCCCAGACUCCUACGGGAGGCAGCAGUAGGGAAUCUUCGGCAAUGGGGGCAACCCUGACCGAGCAACGCCGCGUGAGUGAAGUAGGUUUUCGGAUCGUAAAGCUCUGUUGUAAGUCAAGAACGGGUGUGAGAGUGGAAAGUUCACACUGUGACGGUAGCUUACCAGAAAGGGACGGCUAACUACGUG